UACAGAGGAGCCAAGCGUUGUCCGGAUUGACUGGGCGUAAAGCGCACGCAGGCGGUCGGGCGCGUGGGGUGUGAAAUCUGGCCGCUUAACGGCCAGGCGCCAUCCCAUACGGCUCGACUGGAGUGAUGCAGAGGUCGAUGGAAUUGCCGGUGUAGUGGUGAAAUGCGUAGAGAUCGGCAGGAACACCAGGGGGAACCAGUCGACUGGGCAUCGUACCUGACGCUGAGGUGCGAGAGCGUGG
rnacentral:rRNA from 1 species